GACGAACGCUUGCGGCGUGCUUAACACAUGCAAGUCGAACGGAAAGGCCCUGCUUUUGUGGGGUGCUCGAGUGGCGAACGGGUGAGUAACACGUGAGUAACCUGCCCUUGACUUUGGGAUAACUUCAGGAAACUGGGGCUAAUACUGGAUAGGAGCUCCUGCUGCAUGGUGGGGGUUGGAAAGUUUCGGCGGUUGGGGAUGGACUCGCGGCUUAUCAGCUUGUUGGUGGGGUAGUGGCUUACCAAGGCUUUGACGGGUAGCCGGCCUGAGAGGGUGACCGGCCACAUUGGGACUGAGAUACGGCCCAGACUCCUACGGGAGGCAGCAGUGGGGAAUAUUGCACAAUGGGCGGAAGCCUGAUGCAGCAACGCCGCGUGCGGGAUGACGGCCUUCGGGUUGUAAACCGCUUUCGCCUGUGACGAAGCGUGAGUGACGGUAAUGGGUAAAGAAGCACCGGCUAACUACGUGCCAGCAGCCGCGGUGAUACGUAGGGUGCGAGCGUUGUCCGGAUUUAUUGGGCGUAAAGGGCUCGUAGGUGGUUGAUCGCGUCGGAAGUGUAAUCUUGGGGCUUAACCCUGAGCGUGCUUUCGAUACGGGUUGACUUGAGGAAGGUAGGGGAGAAUGGAAUUCCUGGUGGAGCGGUGGAAUGCGCAGAUAUCAGGAGGAACACCAGUGGCGAAGGCGGUUCUCUGGGCCUUUCCUGACGCUGAGGAGCGAAAGCGUGGGGAGCGAACAGGCUUAGAUACCCUGGUAGUCCACGCUGUAAACGGUGGGUACUAGGUGUGGGGUCCAUUCCACGGGUUCCGUGCCGUAGCUAACGCUUUAAGUACCCCGCCUGGGGAGUACGGCCGCAAGGCUAAAACUCAAAGGAAUUGACGGGGCCCCGCACAAGCGGCGGAGCAUGCGGAUUAAUUCGAUGCAACGCGUAGAACCUUACCUGGGUUUGACAUGGAUCGGGAGUGCUCAGAGAUGGGUGUGCCUCUUUUGGGGUCGGUUCACAGGUGGUGCAUGGCUGUCGUCAGCUCGUGUCGUGAGAUGUUGGGUUAAGUCCCGCAACGAGCGCAACCCUUGUUCACUGUUGCCAGCACGUUAUGGUGGGGACUCAGUGGAGACCGCCGGGGUCAACUCGGAGGAAGGUGGGGAUGACGUCAAGUCAUCAUGCCCCUUAUGUCCAGGGCUUCACGCAUGCUACAAUGGCUGGUACAGAGAGUGGCGAGCCUGUGAGGGUGAGCGAAUCUCGGAAAGCCGGUCUCAGUUCGGAUUGGGGUCUGCAACUCGACCUCAUGAAGUCGGAGUCGCUAGUAAUCGCAGAUCAGCAACGCUGCGGUGAAUACGUUCCCGGGGCU
rnacentral:rRNA from 1 species